rnacentral:lncRNA from 1 species
UUGGUGUUUUGCUCAAAAUUAGAAAAUACAAAUAUUCCACAUUAUUAAAAGGGCAACACAUUUUUGGGCCUGAACUUUACAUUUAAAAGACAACUUGGUCUGAGGGAUGUUUAACCUUAGUCAGUAAAAUAGCACUAUGGUUACCUGAAAAAGCAUAAAGAGGAAUGUUUCAUUGUGGAUUCAAGAAUCAAAUCAAAACAUUUCAACUGUUUUAAUUGAUCUAGUUCCUAUUUUUCUCCGAUUUGAUAAAAUAAUCCUUUAGGUUAAAAUUGCUAUCUUUCAAUGAACAUGGCUUUCAUAACUACUUAUUGAACACAAAGAAAUCCCAUAUUCAUUUUGUAAUAGAACUAUGUCAAUGUUUGUUAUUGAAUAUAUUGUGUUGUGCUUAAUUUUCUUGUCAUUUAAUUUCACCAUAUAUGAAGUCUAAUGUCUAUCAUUACACAAAUGCAUAUAUACAAAACAAGAUUCCAAUGUGAAUAUUUAAACAC